rnacentral:rRNA from 1 species
UACGUAGGGUGCAAGCGUUGUCCGGAAUUAUUGGGCGUAAAGAGCUCGUAGGCGGUUUGUCGCGUCUGCUGUGAAAACCCGAGGCUCAACCUCGGGCCUGCAGUGGGUACGGGCAGACUAGAGUGCGGUAGGGGAGAUUGGAAUUCCUGGUGUAGCGGUGGAAUGCGCAGAUAUCAGGAGGAACACCAAUGGCGAAGGCAGAUCUCUGGGCCAUAACUGACGCUGAGGAGCGAAAGCAUGGGGAGCGAACAGG